CCUACGGGUGGCAGCAGUGAGGAAUAUUGGGCAAUGGGCGCGAGCCUGAACCAGCCAAGUCGCGUGAGGGAAGACGGCCCUACGGGUUGUAAACCUCGUUUGCCGGGGAGCAACGGGCGCCACGUGUGGCGCCACUGAGAGUACCCGGAGAAAAAGCAUCGGCUAACUCCGUGCCAGCAGCCGCGGGAAUACGGAGGAUGCGAGCGUGAUCCGGAUUGAUUGGGUUUAAAGGGUGCGUAGGCGUGGCGUUAAGUCAGUGGUCAAAUUGAGGGGCCCAACCCCUUCCCGCCAUUGAAACUGGCGCUCUUGAGUGGAAGAGAGGUAUGCGGAAUGCGUGGUGUAGCGGUGAAAUGCAUAGAUAUCACGCAGAACCCCGAUUGCGAAGGCAGCAUGCCGGCUUCCUACUGACGCUGAUGCACGAAAGCGUGGGGAUCGAACAGGAUUAGAUACCCUUGUAGUC
rnacentral:rRNA from 1 species